UCAGGAUGAACGCUGCGGGAGGCCUAACACAUGCAAGCCGAGCGGUAUAGAUCUUUCGGGAUCUAGAGAGCGGCGUACGGGUGCGGAACACGUGUGCAACCUGCCUUUAUCUGGGGGAUAGCCUUUCGAAAGGGAGAUUAAUACCCCAUAAUAUAUCAGAUGGCAUCAUUUGAUAUUGAAAACUCCGGUGGAUAGAGAUGGGCACGCGCAAGAUUAGAUAGUUGGUGAGGUAACGGCUCACCAAGUCUACGAUCUUUAGGGGGCCUGAGAGGGUGAUCCCCCACACUGGUACUGAGACACGGACCAGACUCCUACGGGAGGCAGCAGUGAGGAAUAUUGGACAAUGGGUGAGAGCCUGAUCCAGCCAUCCCGCGUGAAGGACGACGGCCCUAUGGGUUGUAAACUUCUUUUGUAUAGGGAUAAACCUACCCUCGUGAGGGUAGCUGAAGGUACUAUACGAAUAAGCACCGGCUAACUCCGUGCCAGCAGCCGCGGUAAUACGGAGGGUGCAAGCGUUAUCCGGAUUUAUUGGGUUUAAAGGGUCCGUAGGCGGAUGUGUAAGUCAGUGGUGAAAUCUCACAGCUUAACUGUGAAACUGCCAUUGAUACUGCAUGUCUUGAGUGUUGUUGAAGUAGCUGGAAUAAGUAGUGUAGCGGUGAAAUGCAUAGAUAUUACUUAGAACACCAAUUGCGAAGGCAGGUUACUAAGCAACAACUGACCGCU
rnacentral:rRNA from 1 species